GUGGUUGUGGCUCAGUGGUUGAGCACUCACCUAGCAUGCAUGAGGCACUGGGUUCGAUCCUCAGCAUCACA
rnacentral:tRNA from 1 species